GGAGAGGUGGCCGAGCGGUCGAAGGCAUCGGUCUUGAAAACCGAAGAUCGCGCAAGCGAUCCGGGGGUUCGAAUCCCCCCCUCUCCGCCA
rnacentral:tRNA from 1 species